UGGGAAACUGCCUGAUGGAGGGGGAUAACUACUGGAAACGGUAGCUAAUACCGCAUAACGUCGCAAGACCAAAGAGGGGGACCUUCGGGCCUCUUGCCAUCGGAUGUGCCCAGAUGGGAUUAGCUUGUUGGUGGGGUAACGGCUCACCAAGGCGACGAUCCCUAGCUGGUCUGAGAGGAUGACCAGCCACACUGGGACUGAGACACGGUCCAGACUCCUACGGGAGGCAGCAGUGGGGAAUAUUGCACAAUGGGCGCAAGCCUGAUGCAGCCAUGCCGCGUGUAUGAAGAAGGCCUUCGGGUUGUAAAGUACUUUCAGCGGGGAGGAAGGGAGUAAAGUUAAUACCUUUGCUCAUUGACGUUACC
rnacentral:rRNA from 1 species